CCCUGAUGCAGCCAUGCCGCGUGUAUGAAGAAGGCCUUCGGGUUGUAAAGUACUUUCAGUCGUGAGGAAGGGCAUGUAGUUAAUAGCUGCAUGCCUUGACGUUAGCGACAGAAGAAGCACCGGCUAACUCCGUGCCAGCAGCCGCGGUAAUAAUCGAAUUCCCGCGGCCGCCA
rnacentral:rRNA from 1 species